GACGUAGGAGGCGAGCGUUGUCCGGAUUCAUUGGGCGUAAAGAGCACGUAGGCGGUUUGGCACGUCCGAUGUGAAAACCCGGAGCUCAACUCCGGACCUGCAUCCGAAACUGCCCGACUAGAGGUAGGUAGGGGAGACUGGAAUUCCUGGUGUAGCGGUGAAAUGCGCAGAUAUCAGGAGGAACACCGAUGGCGAAGGCAGGUCUCUGGGCAUUAACUGACGCUGAGGAGCGAAAGCAUGGGGAGCGAACAGG
rnacentral:rRNA from 1 species